ensembl:lncRNA
GUCCUUUUAGGGCCACACCACAGCAUGUGGGAGUUCCCAGGUUAGGGGUCGAACCAGAGCUACACCUGCCAGCCACAGCCUCAGCAACAUGGGAUCCAAGCCGAGUCCAGGACCUACACCACAGCUCACGGCAACACAGGAUCCUUAACCCAUGGAGCCAGGUCAGGGAUGGAACCUGCAUCUUCGUGGAUCCGCUGAAGCACAAAGGAAACUCCUGGAUGUCUGACUUUGAGGAGAGACUAAAACCCUAUGGAUUUACUAUAAAAUGGUGAGCCCACUUUUAUGGCCACACUGCAGCACGCAGAUGUUCCAGAGCCAGGGAUCGAACUCUUGCCAUGGCAAUGACCGAGCCACAGCAGUGACAACGCUGGAUCCUGAACCCACUGAGCCACUCCAGAUCCCGUUUUAAUUAGAUUCACUUUAAGAGGAACUAUAUGGUGCCAAAAAUGCUCAGAUAAGGAACUGCUCCAUGGUUCCAAAAUCAGUCCGAGGUAACUCUGAGCACACCUGAGGAUAACUUUCUCCCGUUCUGGAUGUCCCUAAGCACAAGAUCCUAAGCAUCUCAAUUUCAAGGGCUAUCAAUUUGCCCCUCCUCUCAUGCUCCCUCCCACUCCAGCCCAAAUGGAAUACCCUACAAAUGCUGUAACAUAGGGUGACCCAAUGCUCACAACUGGAUCUUGACUCUCAUCUGGCAUGUGGUUCUAUUGCAAAGCAACCCUGCAGAGCCAGUCUUCACACUACCGGGGUAAUCUGGAGAUCAUCAAAGGAGCUGAUAUUUUCUGAGAGUUUACUCUGAGUUGAGCUCUGGUCCAAGCAUCUUUUUUUUUUUUCAGCCAUGCCCAUGGCAUGUGGAAGUUCCUAGGGCCAGGGAUCGAACCCAUGACCUAGCAGCAACCCAGGCUGCUGCCGUGACAACACCAGAUCCUUAAGUCUCUGCACUGCAAAGGAACUCCCAAGCAUCUUAGAUAUUACAACACCUUGGAGCAGCUCAGCAAUUUUUUAAGGUAGAUAGUAUUACUGGACCCAUUUUACAGAUCAGGAGCCUGAGGUACAGACAGGCUACGGAACAUGGCUAGGAAUUCUCAAGCCAAGAUUCAAAUCCACAGUGAGAGCCUGAUAAACCUGUGCACUUGCCAAGACCAUACACUGCCUCUCACAGGGAGGAGCAAAAGAAAGAUGCUAACAAAAAAAUUAAGCACAGCUACUUCUAAAGCUGCCAUAUUUCAUUAGGCACUUUAAUUUUGCGAUAACCAAAAAAUUAAGCUCAUCUACUUCUAAAGCUGCCAUAUUUCAUUAGAAACUUUCAUUCUGCUUUACUCACUGCACCAGAAAAUGCCUACCAUUUUCCCGGCUUUGAAAAAAAAAAAAAGCAUCUCCUAAUUCAGAUGUGUCAUUACCUGCACAUCCCAAAGCAACUCUCCCAAAUGUUAAUAACUGCAGGGCGGGUGGGAUAGGAAAACAGCAGUGAAAAUGUGCCAACGUCACCCCCAACCUCAGCGAGAGACAAAAGACAGAAACAGAUUCCUGGAAAUGAGAGGUCACCUCAAAAAUCUAGCCAUUCCCACACUACUGGUAUUCUGCUCAAGGGAUCAAAGUUCUAGAAAACAAUCCAACAGUUUGCACCCAAGGCCUACACCGUUGCCAUUUAAAGGGAUGUGGGGAGGUCCCCUUGUGGCUCAGCAGUAAUGAUCCAGACUCGUAUCCAUGAGGACACGGGUUCCAUCCCCGGCCCGGCUCAGUGGGUUAAGGAUCCGGUGUUGCUCAGAUCCCAAGUUGCUGUGGCUGUGGUGUAGGCCAGCAGCCACUCGGACCCCUAGCCCAGGAACUUCCCUCUACUCCCAGCAGGCUCUGCCCAGAUCUCAGGUCAGAGAACACAGGAGUCUCAGAAGAAAGCAGUGCCAUGCGGUGAGCAUUCUGUCCAACUGACAAUGCCACCCACACUCGCCGGGGGUCACUUUACUUUUCUCUGGAGGUGGGAGGUGCUACAAGACUGUCAGUCAGGGCGAAGUCACAUCUCAGACUCUGGAACAUUCAAAGGCUUUCUUCCCCCAUCUAAACCCAGCUCACCAGGGCAAUCUAUUAGCCCCUAGGACUCGGAUCUGAGAAGCACCCCCCCCCCAAUUCUGGAGCCACCUCUCAGAGAGGGAAGAGGCCUUGGAGACAACUAUGGUUGUCUUUCUAGGGGAUGCGCCAUCUGCAGAGACGGCAGUCACCCGUGGGGACCUCUGUGCAGCAGGGGAAGAGGCAGAAUCUCACUCUGAGGAAGGGCACGUGAGCAGGAAUUAAGGAUGGGGCGUAUCCCAGACAAGAUAGGCUCCAGGGAACUGAUGUUGACCCUGCUGGUGCUGGGAGAGGAGAACCGAUGGAGGUACUUCCUUGGCCAAUAGGGCCUCCCAGCUCCACCCGCCCUUCCUGGAUGGAGCAUCUCUGCCACACAUACAAGCACAUUCUCCCUUUUUUUUUUUUUUUUUUUUUUUUUUUUUUCUUUUUACAGCCGCACCUGCAACCUAUGUAAGUUCCCAGGCUAGGGAUCGAAUUGGAGCUACAGCUACCAGCCGACACCACAGCUACAGCAACACCGUAUCCGAGCGGCUUCUGCCACCUACACCUCAGCUUUCCGCAACGCGGGAUCCUGAAUCCACUGAGCAAGACCAGGGAUAGAACCUGCAUCCUCAUGGGCCCUAUGUCGGGUUACCAACUGAGCCACACAGCGAACUCCACACCGCCUUUUAAAGACCCUA